UCAUACAACGGAGGCGCGAGGGCUGUCGCUGACCUUCGAAGGUCGUGCACGCCCGAGCCCUCUCACAAUCCAUCUCACCCUUUGUGCAUCGCCGCGUGGGUCCCCCCCUUUGCGGGAGGGCUCGCGUUUUCACAUAAAAACUCGAUACAGUGUAGAAUGUUUAUUUUUGCGGUCACACGCGAGCAAUA
rnacentral:misc_RNA from 1 species